CACGUAGGGCGCAAGCGUUGUCCGGAAUUAUUGGGCGUAAAGAGCUCGUAGGCGGUUUGUCGCGUCUGCCGUGAAAGUCCGGGGCUCAACUCCGGAUCUGCGGUGGGUACGGGCAGACUAGAGUGAUGUAGGGGGAGACUGGAAUUCCUGGUGUAGCGGUGAAAUGCGCAGAUAUCAGGAGGAACACCGGUGGCGAAGGCGGGUCUCUGGGCCGAUACUGACGCUGAGGAGCGAAAGCGUGGGGGAGCGAACAGG
rnacentral:rRNA from 1 species